rnacentral:tRNA from 1 species
AGUAGAAUGGCUGAGGUAUAUUAUAGGUAAAAGAUUGUAAAUCUUUUGAGGAGUUUAAACUCUUCUACUA